GCAAAAAAAAAUAUCUGUCACCGAAUUGAAAAGGGUUUUAGGCAGAGAACAUGGCUACAACGUCUCUAAGCAAGAGGAAGUCUAUCAAAACCGAAGGCAGUUUGGUGAAAGAUAGGUUAAGUGAUUUGCCAUGCGAUGUGUUAUGUCGGAUCCUCUCUCAACUCUCUACCAAGGAAUCGGUUAGCACCAGUAUCUUGUUAUGCUAAUUACAUCAUAUUGUUGUCUCACAUAAAUUCAGUUUACCUUACCAACAGUUAUUGUAAUACUUUUUCAGAUAUUUUUGUUGACAAUGGUUUUAUGUUUCCUAGUUCUUAUAAUGGAUGUUAUUCGACUGUGAGGAAUUUUAUA